CCAAAGGCUCUUUUAAGAGCCACCACAUAGCCACGAAAGAGCUGUA
rfam:Charadrius vociferus contig8127, whole genome shotgun sequence.